rnacentral:rRNA from 1 species
AUACGGAGGGUGCGAGCGUUGUUCGGAUUUACUGGGCGUAAAGGGUGCGUAGGCGGAUAUUAAGGUCAGAUGUGAAAGCCCAGGGCCCAACCCUGGAACUGCAUUUGAAACCGAAUGUCUAGAGUAUGAUAGAGGAUGAUGGAAUUUCUAGUGUAGCGAUGAAAUGCAUAGAUAUUAGAAGGAACACCAGAGGCGAAGGCGGUCAUCUGGAUCAUUACUGACGCUGAGGCACGAAAGUGUGGGUAGCAAACGGGAUUAGAAACCCCAGUAGUCC